UAAUAAGUGUUUUAUGGCACUUUUUAAAUCCAUAUCCACCUUGUGUGCAAUGUCAGUCGUUCUCUCUUUUGAGAAUGACCAAACAUCAACUUAUUCUUUAACUCUUUGUCUGAAAAAUAUUAUGAAUAAACAAUUCAAAAUA
rnacentral:misc_RNA from 1 species